GACAGCAGCCAUAUCACCCUGUAACUCACAACUGGCAACCCACUGAAGCUAAGCACGUGUGAGCCUGGUCAGUACCUGGAUGGGAGAAAACGAACUCCCUUAGUUUUCCCUGGGAAAAACUAAGGGUGCUGCUGGCC
rnacentral:rRNA from 1 species